CACCGCGGUUAUACGAGAGACCCUAGUUGAUAUACACGGCGUAAAGAGUGGUUUGGGACAAACCAAAUAAUAGAGCCAAAGACCUCCCAAGCCGUCGCACGCACCCCGGAGGCACGAAGCCCAAGCACGAAAGUAGCUUUAUUAAUACCCCGACGCCACGAAAGCUAAGAAA
rnacentral:rRNA from 1 species